AGCUUAUUAUUCUUGUGUUGAUCGUUCGUUGAACUUAUUACUAAUACGGUUAAGCGUGUGGUUAGGUAACGAGCUGAGUAAUCGGGAAGUGCCAAAACCGUAAGUUGGCAUACUUCGGUCGACUCACAGAUAGCAGGGUUUGUAGGAUGGUCCACUACUGGUCGGCGUUUUGGGGUUGGCUUUGAGGAUGUUGAAUGUGUCGGUGGUAGUGAGUUGUCUUGUAUAUAUAAUCGACUCGUUUUGUAAAGGAUGUUUUGCACUUUAGUUUGCCAAGUAUGUAAAGUUAUGGGUAUAACGUCGACUCUUUUAAUAAUAUUAAUGUUAAGUCUUCCGCUGGUUUAUUCUGAGUUAA